GGAGGAAUAUUGGUCAAUGGUCGAGAGACUGAACCAGCCAUGCCGCGUGCAGGAAGAAGGCCUUAUGGGUUGUAAACUGCUUUUGUACGGGAGAAAAAAGACAGUCGCGCAUUGUCAUUGAUAGUACCGUAAGAAUAAGGAUCGGCUAACUCCGUGCCAGCAGCCGCGGUAAUACGGAGGAUCCAAGCGUUAUCCGGAUUUAUUGGGUUUAAAGGGUGCGUAGGCGGAUUAUUAAGUCAGUGUUGAAAGACUAAAGCUCAACUUUAGAAGUGGCAUUGAUACUGGUAGUCUUGAGUACAGAUGAAGUGGGCGGAAUGUGUCAUGUAGCGGUGAAAUGCAUAGAUAUGACACAGAACACCGAUUGCGAAGGCAGCUCACUAAGUUGUAACUGACGCUGAG
rnacentral:rRNA from 1 species